rnacentral:rRNA from 1 species
GAAUUCGCCCUUAGAGUUUGAUCCUGGCUCAGGAUGAACGCUGGCGGCGUGCUUAACACAUGCAAGUCGAACGGACUUUACAUGAAGCCUAGCGAUUGUAAAGUUAGUGGCGGACGGGUGAGUAACGCGUGAAUAACCUGCCCUGUACCGGGGGACAACAGUUGGAAACGGCUGCUAAUACCGCAUAAGCGCACGGUUCCGCAUGGAACAGUGUGAAAAACUCCGGUGGUACAGGAUGGAUUCGCGUCUGAUUAGCCAGUUGGUGGGGUAACGGCCUACCAAAGCAACGAUCAGUAGCCGGCCUGAGAGGGUGAACGGCCACAUUGGGACUGAGACACGGCCCAAACUCCUACGGGAGGCAGCAGUGGGGGAUAUUGCACAAUGGGGGAAACCCUGAUGCAGCGACGCCGCGUGAGUGAAGAAGUUAUUCGUAACGUAAAGCUCUAUCAGCAGGGAAGAAAAUGACGGUACCUGACUAGGAAGCCCCGGCUAACUACGUGCCAGCAGCCGCGGUAAUACGUAGGGGGCAAGCGUUAUCCGGAUUUACUGGGUGUAAAGGGAGCGUAGACGGCACAGCAAGUCUGAUGUGAAAGCCCGGGGCCCAACCCCGGAACUGCAUUUGGAACUGUAGAGCUAGAGUGUCGGAGAGGCAAGUGGAAUUCCUAGUGUAGCGGUGAAAUGCGUAGAUAUUAGGAGGAACACCAGUGGCGAAGGCGGCUUGCUGGACGAUAACUGACGGUGAGGCGCGAGAGUGUGGGGAGCAAACAGGAUUAGAUACCCUGGUAGUCCACACUGUAAACGAUGAAUACUAGGUGUGGGGGGAUUGACCCCUUCCGUGCCGGAGUAAACACAAUAAGUAAUCCACCUGGGGAGUACGACCGCAAGGUUGAAACUCAAAGGAAUUGACGGGGGCCCGCACAAGCAGUGGAGUAUGUGGUUUAAUUCGACGCAACGCGAAGAACCUUACCAGGUCUUGACAUCGAGUGACAGUCUAAGAGAUUAGGCUUUCCCUUUGGGGACACAAAGACAGGUGGUGCAUGGUUGUCGUCAGCUCGUGUCGUGAGAUGUUGGGUUAAGUCCCGCAACGAGCGCAACCCUUAUCAUUAGUUGCUACGCAAGAGCACUCUAAUGAGACUGCCGUUGACAAAACGGAGGAAGGUGGGGAUGACGUCAAAUCAUCAUGCCCUUUAUGACCUGGGCUACACACGUACUACAAUGGCGUUUAACAAAGAGAAGCAAAGCCGCGAGGCAGAGCAAAUCUCCAAAAAACGUCUCAGUUCGGAUUGUAGGCUGCAACUCGCCUACAUGAAGUCGGAAUUGCUAGUAAUCGUAGGUCAGCAUACUACGGUGAAUACGUUCCCGGGCCUUGCACUCACCGCCCGUCA